rnacentral:ncRNA from 2 species
UCCCGUUCAGGCGAUGAAGCCCGCCUUCAACUGCCGCAACGGCUGAUGGCUUCUACCCGUCC